GAUGAACGCUGGCGGCGUGCCUAAUACAUGCAAGUCGAGCGAACGGACGAGAAGCUUGCUUCUCUGAUGUUAGCGGCGGACGGGUGAGUAACACGUGGAUAACCUACCUAUAAGACUGGGAUAACUUCGGGAAACCGGAGCUAAUACCGGAUAAUAUUUUGAACCGCAUGGUUCAAAAGUGAAAGACGGUCUUGCUGUCACUUAUAGAUGGAUCCGCGCUGCAUUAGCUAGUUGGUAAGGUAACGGCUUACCAAGGCAACGAUGCAUAGCCGACCUGAGAGGGUGAUCGGCCACACUGGAACUGAGACACGGUCCAGACUCCUACGGGAGGCAGCAGUAGGGAAUCUUCCGCAAUGGGCGAAGGCCUGACGGAGCAACGCCGCGUGAGUGAUGACGGUCUUCGGAUCGUAAAACUCUGUUAUUAGGGAAGAACAUAUGUGUAAGUAACUGUGCACAUCUUGACGGUACCUAAUCAGAAAGCCACGGCUAACUACGUG
rnacentral:rRNA from 1 species